GCCUAAAAUCUAGCUCAUCUACACAUUCCGUAAAACAACCCACCACCUCAAUAACAAUAAACUAAAACAUUCUCUAUCUUUAGUAUAGGCGAUAGAAAAAGAACAUGAAGCCAUAGAACCAGUACCGCAAGGGAACGAUGAAAUAGAAAUGAAACAAAUAUUAAAGCACCAAAAAGCAAAGAUCAGCUCUUGUACCUUUUGCAUCAUGGUCUAGCUAGUCUACCAAAGCAAAAAGAAUUGAAGUUUUCCUUCCCGAAACUAAGCGAGCUACUUCGGGGCAGCUAAAGAGCUAACCCUUCUCUGUGGCAAAAGAGUGGGAUGACCCCCAAGUAGCGGUGACAGACCUAACGAGCUUAGUGAUAGCUGGUUACUCAAGAAAUGAAUUUUAGUUCAGCCUUAAGAACCCAUAGCAAUCUAAAGCAACCCAGAUUCUUAAGAGUUAUUCUAUAGAGGUACAGCUCUACAGAAAAAGGAUACAACCUAACCCCAUGGGUAAUGAUCAUAAACACCAAGGACUAAGAAAAAGUUGGCCUAAAAGCAGCCACCUUAAAAGAUAGCGUCACAGCUCUACCUUCCACCUCCUUCAAAUCCUGAUACCACCAUCAGAACCCUAUCUCACAUUGAGUAAUCCUAUACCUAUAUAGGAGUAUUAAUGCUAGAACUAGUAACUCAGAAUUAACAAUUCUCUUCAUGCAAGUGUAUAUCAGAUUGAAUAACUCACUGAUAAUUAACAGCCUUUCAGAAAGCAGUGUAUUAACUCUUCAAGAAAACUAUACACCUCAAACUGUUAACCUUACACAAGGGCAUGCCAAGAAAGAUUAAAAGAUAUAGAAGGAACUCGGCAAAUCUAGGUCCCGCCUGUUUACCAAAAACAUCGCCUCUUGCUUCUCCAGUAUAAGAGGUCCCGCCUGCCCAGUGACUAUAUGUUAAACGGCCGCGGUAUUCUGACCGUGCGAAGGUAGCGUAAUCAUUUGUCUUUUAAAUGAGGACUUGUAUGAAUGGCAUCACGAAGACCUUACUGUCUCCUAUAUCCAAUCAGUGAAACUGAUCUCCCCGUGAAGAAGCGGGGAUUUCACCAUAAGACGAGAAGACCCCAUGGAGCUUUAAACUUAAACCACCUGCUUAACCCUUUACUCCUACGGGAUAAUCAAUUAAUCAAGCAGCACUGGCUUAUGUUUUCGGUUGGGGCGACCACGGAGAAUAAUAAAUCCUCCAUGAUGAAAGAACACCUCUUAACCAAGAGCCACAGCUCUAAGUAUUAGAAUUUCUAACCUUAAUUGAUCCAAUCUUAUUGAUCAACGAACCAAGUUACCCUGGGGAUAACAGCGCAAUCCAUUUCAAGAGUCCAUAUCGACAAAUGGGUUUACGACCUCGAUGUUGGAUCAGGGCAUCCUAGUGGUGCAGCCGCUACUAAUGGUUCGUUUGUUCAACGAUUAAAGCCCUACGUGAUCUGAGUUCAGACCGGAGUAAUCCAGGUCAGUUUCUAUCUAUGUAGAUUCCCCCCUAGUACGAAAGGACCGGGGAGAUAGAGCCUCUUACAUAUUAAGCUCUAACCUUAUAUUAGUGAAACCAUCUCAACUAAAAACAGGCCUAACAAAUACCCCUAAACAAGGGAC
rnacentral:rRNA from 1 species